CAAUGAAAAAAGUAUGGUAAUGUGCACAUAAAGUGAUUUGGGUCUCUAGGCCCGCCCUCUCUGAUGCCAUUUGACUUUGAUUUGGGGGCAUGGUUCUUCAACAAAAUG